UGUUGAAAGGCUGCAGGGAAAGAAAAUGAGACUUGAGGACAGGACAGUGGAAUUGAUUUCAUGCUUAGCUAAAUGAGGGUUUCAGCAGAGGACCUUUUUGUGGUGAGGCUACAGAAUCAGAAGGAACGUUUGUCUGGGCAACUGGGAGAUUUGCAGUUUUUCAUGCACCCAACCAAGACAUUAGGGUUGGUAUCAUCCCAAAUGACUGGCAAAGAUUGCUUGUAACUGUCAGUGUAGGACAGGCAAGGCAGGUGUAGGUUAGGGAGGGCAUCCAUCUGUGAGCUCUGACUGGAUGUGAGGACCUGUCACACUUGACCAGAGAUGAAGGCUGCUGCACAUUCCUGGAUCAGGGGACUCCAUGUUGGACACCACGACCUGGAGAAGUCCCCUUCUGGAUGGCUGCAGUGAUGACCUAGCCCAAGAUGAACCAACCCUUCUACGAUGAGGACUUUGCCCAAGAUGAACCGACCUUUUCCGCCUCUUUUCCACGGGAUGUCUUCAGAUGUUGGACCUUGCCAAACUGUACACAUGCCUCAAUGGCUGCUACGUCACUCUGCCCAACAGGACAUGGUCAUCAAGAUUUUUUUUUUUUUUUUUUUAAAUGGACUUUAUCCCCCCCCUGUCCUGACUGACCCACAACCACACAUGACUAAACACUUUACAUGUGAUGCAUCACCACACUAAAAUACAGACACUGCUACUUUAAGCCUGUAAUGUUUGACAUUGAAAACUUGUAUUUAUUGCCUUCUUUAUUUCAAGUAAAACUUUUGUUCUUAACUUUAUGGUUGACUUGUAUUUUUUCAGUGAUUCUGUAAUGAGUGUUAUUUUGAAAAGUUAGUGCUUUCAACUUAAAGAUAUGUUCUUUUAAAAUGAAUUGCACUGAUCUGUUACUGUAGACUUGGAAUCUUUUGACACUGCUCCAAGUGUUCUGUUGAUCUUAACCAGAAAACUCAAACCCUAUAUGGAUUUGUACAAGGUUUUAAAGGGAAUAUAAUAAAUUGGACUCUAAAGCAGGGAAUGCAUCAGUGGAUGGUGAUGCUGCUACUUGCCCCCAUCUCACAACUUAC